rnacentral:rRNA from 1 species
GGGUACCUGCCCUAUGCUGGAUAAUAACCUCGGGAAACUGAGAAUAAUGAUCCAUAGUUCACUACGCCUGGAACGGUGAGUGGAUGAGAGCUCCGGCGGCAUAGGAUGGGCCUGCGGCGUAUCAGGUUGUAGGGGGUGUAACGUACCCUCUAGCCCUCUACGCGUACGGGUGUUGGGAGACAUAGCCCGGAGAUGGAUUCUGAGACACGAAUCCAGACCCUACGGGGUGCAGCAGGCGCGAAAACUUGGCAAUGCGAGAAAUCGUGACCAGGGAACUCCAAGUGCAUCGGGUAAGACCGGUGCUUUUCUUGGCUCUAAAUAGGUCUUGGAAUAAGGGGUGGGUAAGGACGGUGCCAGCCGCCGCGGUAAUACCGGCGCCUCAAGUGGUAGUCGCUUUUAUUGGGCCUAAAACGUCCGUAGCCGGUCUGAUACAUUCGUGGGUAAAUCAACCAGCUCAACUGGUUGAAUUCUGCGAGGACGGUCAGACUUGGGACCGGGAGAGGUGUGGGGUACGCUCAGGGUAGGGGUAAAAUCCUGUCAUCCUGAGCGGACCACCUGUUGCGAAGGCGCCACACUAGAACGGAUCCGACGGUCAGGGACGAAGCCUAGGGGCACGAACCGGAUUAGAUACCCGGGUAGUCCUAGGUGUAAACGCUGUGGACUUGAUGUUGGGGGUGCUCCGAGCACUCUCAGUGUCGAAGCGAAGGUGAUAAGUCCACUGCCUGGGAAGUACGGUCGCAAGGCUGAAACUU